UGCGAUGUGGAACAGCAGGUUACUUCGUGAGGCCCAUAACCUCGAGAUCGGUGGUUCGAAUCCACCCAUCGCUCAU